CCUACGGGACGCACCAGUGGGGAAUGUUGCACAAUGGGCGCAAGCCUGAUGCAGCCAUGCCGCGUGUAUGAAGAAGGCCUUCGGGUUGUAAAGUACUUUCAGUCGGGAGGAAGGUGGUGAGCUUAAUACGCUCAUCAAUUGACGUUACCGACAGAAGAAGCACCGGCUAACUCCGUGCCAGCAGCCGCGGUAAUACGGAGGGUACAAGCGUUAAUCGGAAUUACUGGGCGUAAAGCGCACGCAGGCGGUUGAUUGAGUCAGAUGUGAAAUCCCCGGGCUUAACCCAGGAAUUGCAUCUGAUACUGGUCAGCUAGAGUCUUGUAGAGGGGGGUAGAAUUCCAUGUGUAGCGGUGAAAUGCGUAGAGAUGUGGAGGAAUACCGAUGGCGAAGGCGGCCCCCUGGACAAAGACUGACGCUCAGGUGCGAAAGCGUGGGGAGCAAACAGGAUUAGAUACCCCGGUAGUC
rnacentral:rRNA from 1 species